UUGGAAAAAACAUUUGCUGAUUAAAUGUCCUGCUAGAUGACCUCAUAAAGGUGUUCAGUGAUGAAGAGGAGUGGCUGAAGAGAGCUUCAGCAAGCAACCACUAGGAUAAUGUUAAAGAUCUUCAGUGGUAAGAAGACAAGGAGCAAAGAUUUUUAUCUUACUUUGUGAUUUUCAUAAUUAAAAAAGAAAGAAAGGAAAGGGGUGGAAUAGUGAGUUGUUACAAAGCCAUUCCUGGAUACGAUGGUGAUGUGGCUCUAUCAUCUGCAUCAAAUUUCUUGUUGGUUUUGACCCUGCAUAGUGGGCUGAGCUGUUCUGCCUUCCUCGCUCAUUGCUCUUUGAACAAUCUUCCCAAAUGUGCAUGCUGGACUGAAGGUCCCAGUGAGUGGAAAACCCUUCUUCUAUCAGGAUCAUUCAAGGGUGAAGCAUCUCCUGAGAAGCAGAAGACCCUGUGAAACA
rnacentral:lncRNA from 1 species